ensembl:lncRNA
GAAUUUUUCUCUGCAGAGAUUCCUGGCCACUUCAAUGGCUGAUUAUACAUUCUACUAUAUCCAGACGUGGCUGACGCCGCUGCUGGGUCUGACUGUGAGUCUGUGCAUACUGAGGUACUGCUGCAAAAUCUGCAGUAAAGUCUCAGACACUGACUCAGUUCUGGACCUGUCAAACAGCGACCAUGUCUAUGUGAUUCCCAACCCCAUUCAUGUGAGAGAAGAGAGAGACGAACCAGAUGAGAUAAGCUCUCAUGAUGACUCUGAGUUCACACCGCCACCAUAUGAACUAGAGUGUCCACCACCGUCAUAUGCAGAGUCUAGCGUUAAAUUAAAUAUUUCUGAUGUUCAAGUGACUCCAGACACUUCCGACGUGCCACCGCCACCGUACUGCCCACCUUUAAAUAUGAUGUCACAAUCAUCCAAUCAACAAUAGACACUUCUGAAUAUAUAUUUUUGUUUGUGUGAUAACUAAUACAUGUUUUUAUUCUCAUAACUGGAAUUGUGAGUGAAAGUUCGCACCAAAUAGGCAGUUUGUAAGAACAAAAAAGUGUACUGCUUUUGUGAACCACGUGAAGAGGAGUGGCUGAAAUGUAACCAUAUUUCCAUGUAUUAUGUAAAUCCUGGGUAACACUUUACUUGAAGGGGUGUGCAUAAGACUGACAUGACACCUUCAUAAUCAUGACAUGACACGUCAUGAAUAUGAAGGAGGUUUUAUGCAUGUUUAUGACAACUGUCAUUAAGUGUCAUUCGCUCAGUUAUGUAAUUUUUAAUGCAAAUAUGACAUUAUUUGACCUAACCCUAACCUAACCCUACCCCUAACCAUAGCCCAUAACAAAGACAUCUCAAACAAUGUCAUCUUUGCAUUAAAAAUGACAUAACUGAGCGAAUGACACUUAAUGACAGUUGUUAUAAACAUGCAUAAAAACCUUCAUAUUCAUGACAUGUGUCAUGUCAUGAUUAUGAAGGUGUCAUGUCAGUCUUAUGCACACCCCUUCAAGUAAAGUGUAACCAAAUCCUGAAUAACUGAAUUACUUAGAGUUAGUAAAAUGCUUACGUGGACUAUCAAAAUAAAGUGCAACCAGAUAAAUUCUAAAAUUAUUGCUAUAUAUUAAAUAUACGCUUUUACUGACAUGUUUCAAUGGUGUCAGAUAGAGCUAAUAAAAAAGUAAAUGUAGCACCAUGUUAAAGCAGGUAUUAUGUAGAAUUUAAGACAUUCUUUUAGCUUCAUUUUGGAUAGAUUAUUUAUUCCAGGACUGAACUUCCAGUGCUUUCACCUAAUUAGUUAUUGCUUUGUUUGUGUUAAUCAUAACUUGAACGUCUGAACUUUUCUUUGACACACACAGACACACGCAAUGUUGGAUGCAACUUCUGUAGAUGAAUUUGUAGCGUUAAAUCGCUAUAUGAAAAUAUCGAAGUGAGAUGAGAUGUGAAUGCAUGUAUUGUGAAUAUUUUGAAAGGUGUUUUGAAAUAUCUUCUGGAAGACAGGGUCAGCUCUAUGCACCCUGCUUUUCAACAUAAAUGUGCUGCUGAUUUUCAAAAAAAUAUUGAAUCUUCUGUGUAAAUUGGGGAUGACUGUGUAUGCUGAAUAACAUUCUGUUACAGUAAUUAAAUAUGAUGAUCUUCAAUCUUUGUGAAGAACUGACCAAUAUGUCCUUCUGUCUUAUACUGCUGCAUAGCAGCCCCACACAAAAGCUCACAGAAACAAAGGAAAUCAUGGAAUAAAAUAAUAGGAAUAGGUUUUUUGUCUUUCGCAAAGCAUCUGGUUUUUUAAUAAGACUUUUAUUAUAUAUAUACUGUAAUUACUGGUAACUAUUAAAAAACCUUUGUAAAAGCUAUAUGUGCA